UGGGGAAUUUUGGACAAUGGGCGAAAGCCUGAUCCAGCAAUGCCGCGUGUGUGAAGAAGGCCUUCGGGUUGUAAAGCACUUUUGUCCGGAAAGAAAUCCUUGGCUCUAAUACAGUCGGGGGAUGACGGUACCGGAAGAAUAAGCACCGGCUAACUACGUGCCAGCAGCCGCGGUAAUACGUAGGGUGCAAGCGUUAAUCGGAAUUACUGGGCGUAAAGCGUGCGCAGGCGGUUUGCUAAGACCGAUGUGAAAUCCCCGGGCUCAACCUGGGAACUGCAUUGGUGACUGGCAGGCUAGAGUAUGGCAGAGGGGGGUAGAAUUCCACGUGUAGCAGUGAAAUGCGUAGAGAUGUGGAGGAAUACCGAUGGCGAAGGCAGCCCCCUGGGCCAAUACUGACGCUCAUGCACGAAAGCGUGGGGAGCAAACAGGAUUAGAUACCCUGGUAGUCCACGCCCUAAAACGAUGUCAACUAGUUGUUGGGGGAUUCAUUUUCCUUAGUAACGUAGCUAACGCGUGAAGUUGACCGCCUGGGGAGUACGGUCGCAAGAUUAAAACUCAAAUGAAUUGACGGGGUCAUAGCUGUUUCCU
rnacentral:rRNA from 1 species